UCGUAAAUGUUUAGACACUUCCAAGAUGGCGGACGCUGAAAGUCAACACAGGUCUAUAAUGGCGAAAAGUCGAGCUUAAUAUAAAAAAGAAUAUAUAUAGAGAAAAAAGAAGAAUGAUUAAUCAUACCUUGAAAAGGAACAUUUACGAGCUAAAGGAAACCGAGAGUCCAUUCACAAGCACAAAUUCGUUUGAGAAUGAUACAACAAGAAUGCAAAUGAUGCCUAGAUCACAACAUGAUCUGAAUCUUCUUGGAGUAAAAAAUCAUUCUAGAAAAGUAAUAAAAAAAACUGGAGAUGUCAAAUGCAAUUAUUGCUGAAGGGAGAGAGGCAGCACAAAAAAGCAACAUCUCAGUCAAUGAAAAGAGUAUGAUGAGAGUAGUCAGUGGAAGAAUAGUAAAAAAGUGUAAGUGUUAGACACAAUCAGAAAGCAAACAGGUCUUGGUAGAAAAGGGCUGAAAAGUUCCAACACGAAAAUAGUGAGACCUAUUUGUCGAAAACGACUCGACGAAGAGAGAACAUGAUGAAAACAGAAAUCAUUUAGUUCCUUGAAAGGGAACAUCAUGUCAGUAUUCAGAUGCCUGGGAAAAAGAUACCAAAGACCAUGAACCAAGGUGAUAAGAGACAAGUGCAUAUCCUCAAUCAUUAUCUAGAGAAUAUAUAUCAAAAGUAUAAAGCAGAAAACCUAAACAUAAAGAUUUCUAAAUAAAGUCCAAGACAGUAAAGCCGACAAUGAAAACGUAAAGUGACAGAUGAAAGUUCCUGUUGCUGGAUCAUUUGUUUUGGCUAAAUAUGAGGGCAAACAGUAUGUGGGUAAAGUCCUAUAGGUCGACUCCAAUAAAAAGGAUGCGCAUGUUUCGUUCAUGGAAAAGACCCGUGUCAAAUGGUCGAUACCACUGUUCAGAUGGCCUUCAAGAGCUGAUGAAUUGUGGGUAGACUUUGAAAACAUCAUAUCUUUAAUCUAGAAACCUUCCCCCUAUGGCAAGACCAAAAGGCAGUACAGAUUGAACAAUAAUGACUCUGCUUUCUUUGCUAACUGAUGUUCAGACUGAUGUUCAGUUUACGACAAUUUAACUUUAGAGUUUUUGUGUUAACGUAUAUGAUGACACUUUUUCUUUGACUCCACUAGCAAUAGCAGAAGUACUAGUAUAAGUUAUAUUCACAUAAUUAUGUAAAUUUACAUUGAAUGUGUUUGAGAAAAUGCAGUAUUCUUUAUAAACCACUUUUCCUACUGAAUUUGCAUUUAAACUUUAACCGUAAUAAAUGAUUAAUUUUUAA
rnacentral:lncRNA from 1 species